rnacentral:rRNA from 1 species
GUCUAUGGCCAUGCCACCCUAAAUGUGCCCAAUCUCAUCUGAUUUCAGAAGCUAAGCAGGGUUGGAUCUGGUUAGUACUUGGAUGGGAGACCACCUAAGAAUACCAGGUGCUAUCAGCA